rnacentral:rRNA from 1 species
UACGAAGGGGGCUAGCGUUGUUCGGAUUUACUGGGCGUAAAGCGCGCGUAGGCGGAUCACUAAGUCAGGGGUGAAAUCCCGAAGCUUAACCUCGGAACUGCCUUUGAUACUGGUGAUCUGGAGAUCGGGAGAGGUUGGUGGAAUUCCGAGUGUAGAGGUGAAAUUCGUAGAUAUUCGGAGGAACACCAGAAGCGAAGGCGGCCAACUGGCCCGAUACUGACGCUGAGGCGCGAAAGCGUGGGGAGCAAACAGG